rnacentral:rRNA from 1 species
GAUGAACGCUGGCGGCGUGCCUAACACAUGCAAGUCGAGCGAUUUACUUCGGUAAAGAGCGGCGGACGGGUGAGUAACGCGUGGGUAACCUGCCCUGUACACACGGAUAACAUACCGAAAGGUAUGCUAAUACGAGAUAAUAUACUUUUAUCGCAUGGUAGAAGUAUCAAAGCUUUUGCGGUACAGGAUGGACCCGCGUCUGAUUAGCUAGUUGGUAAGGUAACGGCUUACCAAGGCAACGAUCAGUAGCCGACCUGAGAGGGUGAUCGGCCACAUUGGAACUGAGACACGGUCCAAACUCCUACGGGAGGCAGCAGUGGGGAAUAUUGCACAAUGGGCGAAAGCCUGAUGCAGCGACGCCGCGUGAGCGAUGAAGGCCUUCGGGUCGUAAAGCUCUGUCCUCAAGGAAGAUAAUGACGGUACUUGAGGAGGAAGCCCCGGCUAACUACGUGCCAGCCGCCGCAGUAA